ACAGGGGUGGAAGACGAGUUGGUAAGGGCGUACAGCUACCAACCUGAAGGUUAUGGGUUCAAUUCCCACCCUUUGCA